rnacentral:misc_RNA from 1 species
AAGGGACGAGAGUUUUAGUCAUCUGACAAUAUUCUUGGCAGUUCCAUUCUGCUCGCAAGGAAUAAACUUCUGGGAGGCUGCUUGGAACAAUUUUCCGGUGACCCAAGCCUGGCAGUCCAUGAAGAUCUAUAGUUUUGACCCCUAUUUGUGCCAGGAGAAGUUGACUAAUUCUGGGAUAUGAUUUUUAGUUUCCUGUAUGCUUCAUUUAUACUAUGAAUGACUGGCUUUCUCAAAUUUCUUUCAACUAGUAUUUUAACAGUGGCUGCUUAUUUUGAUAUGGUAGUUUUUGGAUCAAAUUUAGGUGUAGAUGUUUGCUUGCUACCCGACAGUUUCCUCCAAUGUUUCCCCUU